rnacentral:rRNA from 1 species
GACGAACGCUGGCGGCGUGCUUAACACAUGCAAGUCGAGCGGUAAGGCCCUUUCGGGGGUACGACGAGCGGCGAACGGGUGAGUAACACGUGGGUGACCUGCCCUCAGCUCUGGGAUAAGCCUGGGAAACCGGGUCUAAUACUGGAUAUGACUCCAUGACGCAUGUUGUGGGGUGGAAAGCCUUGUGCGGCUGAGGAUGGGCCCGCGGCCUAUCAGCUUGUUGGUGGGGUGAGGCCUACCAAGGCGACGACGGGUAGCCGGCCUGAGAGGGCGACCGGCCACACUGGGACUGAGACACGGGCCCAGACUCCUACGGGAGGCAGCAGGUGGGGAAUCUUGCGCAAUGGGCGAAAGCCUGACGCAGCGACGCGCGUGAGGGAUGACGGCCUGGUGUAACG